rnacentral:rRNA from 1 species
UACGUAUGGUGCAAGCGUUAUCCGGAUUUACUGGGUGUAAAGGGAGCGCAGGCGGCGCGGCAAGCCUGAUGUGAAAGCCCGCGGCCCAACCGCGGGACCGCAUUGGGAACUACCGGGCUGGAGUGCCGGAGAGGUAGGCGGAAUUCCUAGUGUAGCGGUGAAAUGCGUAGAUAUUAGGAGGAACACCAGUGGCGAAGGCGGCCUACUGGACGGUGACUGACGCUGAGGCUCGAAAGCGUGGGGAGCAAACAGG